AGCUGCUCCAGAUUUUACAACUUCAAAAGUAUUUAAAACUUAGCCUGCAAAAUAAAAACAUCUUCAUAAAAGUUAUGAAGACCCCGUUCUAAAGUAUACAAGCUAAAGAACUGAUUAUGUACCACAAAAGCUGUGAAGCUGAGAUCUUAAUUUUCUUGGCACUGGGUUGCAGCCCUUGGGUUGAAGAGAGCAAACGGUGAGUACCACACACACUUCGGUUGUCAUUACAAAGCUAAGCACCACUGCAGAGCCUGGGAUCAGGAGAUCUUCCUUCUAUGGCCUGUGUUAAUCUCUGCCAGGGCGCUGCUGAGGGCCAUGGCCAUGCACAAGGAACAACAAAUGGUCUUAAAACUCAUGGAAUGUUGUCCACUGGUUACCACAGCCACGCUGGAUUUUCCUCGGUAGGGAAUGACCCCGAGGAUCACGUGUCCUGAGGACUUCAUGCUGUAAUGGAGUUCUGCUCUGCUUGCUGCCCUCACAUCACUCUUAAUCUAAGAGAACUCUAAAGAGGCUUGCAGACUCUCACUGGGCAGUAUCUCUGGCACUCACAACAACAUUGCUUGAUUCCUUUCAGGCAUUGCUGCUGGAAGAGAUUCAACUGAUUCAACACCACCCUAGAAAAGAAUCUAGAGACAUAGAUUGUAAGUUAUGACAGCCGCCCUUGGAAAGCAUUUGGAAAAAUAAAAUUGUGAGUGAAGCUAGGUUAAGAUGCUUUUGCUACAGGCUCCCAGUGUAGAAAAUCUUAGGGAACAAUUUGAAGUUCAAAAAGGCACACUUUUAUUUGUUAAGCUAGGGACCUUUUAUGGUCAGGGAAUAAGAACAAUGGCAGCACUGGCUGAUGAUUCACAAUGAGGCUGGACUGAUGAUUUCUUUCUUUCUUCCUUUCUUUCUCUCUCUGUCUUUCUUUCUUUCUUCCUUUCUUUCUUCUUUCUUUCCUUCCUCCCUUCCUUCCUUCCUUCCUCCCUUCUUUCCUUCUUUCUUCUUCUUUCCUUCUUCCUUUCUUUCUUUCUUAAUUUCUUUCUUUCUUUCCAUUUAUUUAUUUAUUUAUUUAUUUAUUACUUAUUCACUUUAUAUCCUUCUCACUUCCCCCUUUCUGGUCACCCUCUCCCACAAUCCUUCCUCCAUCCUCCAUCUCCUUCUCUUCUAGGCAGAU
rnacentral:lncRNA from 1 species